rnacentral:lncRNA from 1 species
CAGGCAGCUCCAGUGACUGACUUGCCCACAGUCACAUGGCUAGAGUCUGAAUACCCCCGGGAAGGGGAAGGACCUGGCAGCAGGGAGUAACCACGACUGGUCAGUUGAAGAAGGUGAGGAUGCUGGCCCCGAGGUGUACAGGAAGGGGGAAAAUGUGCGAGGGCCUUUACGGUGGGCAGUGCCAGCUAUGGCCCCCCAGCAGACAACAAGGCACAGUGGGGCUUGGGGACUGGGGGAGGCCAGCCCUGUCCGCCUGUCCUUGACAUCAGGAGGCUUGUGAGUGGAGUCCUGCAACCCCCACCCAACCCCUGUACAACGGGGGUUCCAUUUCUGAGACCCCCAAAGUAUGGGGCAUCUUAGAGGCCCGCCCCACAGCUGAGCAUCAUCUCAAGGACCUUCCCCCAUGACGGGAUCCUCAGAAAGAGCCAGGGCCAGCCGAGCAGAACCGAGGGGCAGGGCGGGGGGCCUGGUGUGGCCUCCUGCCCGCCAUGCCCCUCACCUGGCAGGGGUGGCUGCCCGACCCAGAAGCUCCAGGGGCACCAGGAACGGGUUCAGGGGACAGAUCCCAGCUGCUUGCCAAGGCGAUUUCAGUUCGCUGUGCUCGGCCUUCUCGGUGGCUGGGGGGGUCUCCUCUGGUGCCUUGGAGCCAGCCCCAUCCCCUUCUGCUGCAGGCCCCAGGCUCCCUCCAGCGGGAAUGGGCUGGGGGGCUGUCAGGCGUAGGUACGUCUCCGUCAUAUGCUCAACCAGGGCUGUGCAGGGCAGGAGUGGCAGCUCCUCUGGAAGUGACAUGAGCAGGUCGAGGACCACAGCGGAC